rnacentral:rRNA from 1 species
AUUGAACGCUGGCGGCCGGCCUAACACAUGCAAGUCGAGCGAGCGGCGGACGGGUGAGUAACGUAUGGGGACUGACCGCUAGAGGGGGGUAACUACUGGAAAAGGUAGGUAAAACCGCAUACUAUCGGAUAACCCAUAUGGGAUUUGCGAGUAGGUGAGGUAAUGGGUCACCUAGGCGACGAUCCCUAGCUGGUCUGAGAGGAUGAUCAGCCACACGGGGACUGAGACACGGCCCAGACUCCUACGGAGGCAGCAGUGGGGAAUAUUGCACAAUGGGCGCAAGCCUGAUGCAGCCAUGCCGGGUGUAUGAAGAAGGCCCUAGGGUUGUAAAGUACUUUCAGUCGGGAGGCGUUACCGACAGAAGAAGCACCGGCUAACUACGUGCCAGCCGCCGCGGUAAUUC